rnacentral:rRNA from 1 species
UACGGGGGGGGCAAGCGUUGUUCGGAAUUACUGGGCGUAAAGGGCUCGUAGGCGGCCAACUAAGUCCGACGUGAAAUCCCCAGGCUUAACCUGGGAACUGCGUCGGAUACUGGAUGGCUUGAAUCCGGGAGAGGGAUGCGGAAUUCCAGGUGUAGCGGUGAAAUGCGUAGAUAUCUGGAGGAACACCGGUGGCGAAAGCGCGAGACUGGGCCAUAACUGACGCUGAGGAACGAAAGCCAGGGGAGCGAAAGGG